GUUGUGUCUCAACCGAUGGAGGGCACAACACAACCUCAGAUGAUGUGAAAUAGGGCCUAAGCUACAAAAUGCAGAUAUUAAAAAGAGUUUACACUUUGUUAGAUAAUUUAUGUUAAAGCAUUAAAUAAUGUCCACAUUUUUUUUUUUUUUUUAAAUGCAAUAAAUUAUUAAAUCGUAUGACAACCCUGUUUGUAAGCUCUUAAAUUAUAGAAAUCUCAACCAUACAUCUUUUCCAGUGAUGUCUCGUGGUAUGGUGGGGUAUGCAAUACGGGUCGACUUUGAGGACCUUUAUCUCCUGAAUAUUUUGGCAUUCAGGUCCCAAACGUCACUUCCUGACCUCUUCUUCCAUGGGCGGAACUUUGUGUUUAAAUCAAAAGGGCUGUCAAAAAGUGAUUGGCCUGGAGCAGCUCCAGGACACCUCUAGUGGAGUCAUCUCUCUCCAGGACACCUCUAGUGGAGUCAUCUCUCUCCAGGCCUGGAGCAGCUUGAGGACACCUCUAGUGGAGUCAUCUCUCUCCAGGCCUGGAGCAGCUCGAGGACACCUCUAGUGGAGUCAUCUCUCUCCAGGCCUGGAGCAGCUCGAGGACACCUCUAGUGGAACCCUAUUCCAACGUAGUGCUUUAGUUUGGGACAGAGACCUAUGUGGGAGCCCUAUCAGGCCAAAGCAAGGACACUAAAUAAGGAAAAGUGACAUUUAUGAGCUUUUCUAAUGUAUUUAUUUAGCAUGGCAACAUGCAGCAGAGUACCCUUAUAAUGACUGAGCCCUCCGUGUGUGUGCUGGGGUAGAGAAGACAACACUGACUGUUGUAGCCUCUUAACAAUAUCCCCUGCCUUUGGUCCUCAGGGACUUAAGAAAAGGGUGCUGUGUAUGUAGGAUAUUUUAACUAAGUAAAAGAACCAAAAUGAAAUAAUCCUUCAGACUUUGAAAAUGUGUGGUGUUUGCUGAUACGUGUUGCUAUUACAAAGAGACUGCUGAUAUUGAGCUGGUGACUGAUUCUGUACUGCUUUCUAGUGACAGGAUGUGAUGUCACUAAUGGUCAGUCUGACCAGUGACAGGAUGUGAUGUCACUAAUGGUCAGUCUGACCAGUGACAGGAUGUGAUGUCACUAAUGGUCAGUCUGACCAGUGACAGGAUGUGAUGUCACUAAUGUUCAGUCUGACCAGUGACAGGAUGUGAUGUCACUAAUGGUCAGUCUGACCAGUUACCGGAUGUGAUGUCACUAAUGGUCAGUCUGACCAGUGACAGGAUGUGAUGUUACUAAUGAUCAGUCUGACCAGUGACAGGAUGUAAUGCUGACUGCCUAGUGGAACCAUGUUAUAGUGUGUCGUUUCAGAUAAAAAGCUGUUGUGAUUUAAACUGUGUAGUCUGUCUGAACUGGUAUCCUGUGAUAAUAUAGUGCACUAGCCCCCAGCACCCUGGUCAAAGUAGGGCACUAGCCCUCAAUACCCCUGGUCAAAGUAGGGCACUAGAUCCCAGCACCCUGGUCAAAAGUAGGGCACUAGAUCCCAGCACCCUGGUCAAAAGUAGGGCACUAGAUCCCAGCACCCUGGUCAAAAAUAGGGCACUAGCCCCCAGCACCCUGGUCAAAGUAGGGCACUAGCCCCCAUCACCCU
rnacentral:lncRNA from 13 species